rnacentral:rRNA from 1 species
AUACGUAGGGUGCAAGCGUUAAUCGGAAUUACUGGGCGUAAAGCGUGCGCAGGCGGUUUUGUAAGACAGUGGUGAAAUCCCCGGGCUCAACCUGGGAACUGCCAUUGUGACUGCAAGGCUGGAGUGCGGCAGAGGGGGAUGGAAUUCCGCGUGUAGCAGUGAAAUGCGUAGAUAUGCGGAGGAACACCGAUGGCGAAGGCAAUCCCCUGGGCCUGCACUGACGCUCAUGCACGAAAGCGUGGGGAGCAAACAGGAUUAGAUACCCUGGUAGUCCACGCCCUAAACGAUGUCAACUGGUUGUUGGGGAUUUAUUGACUCAGUAACGAAGCUAACGCGUGAAGUUGACCGCCUGGGGAGUACGGCCGCAAGGUUGAAACUUAAAGGAAUUGACGGGG